rnacentral:lncRNA from 1 species
UUUUCUUCCAUACUCUGUAGUAUGUAAGUAAUAUUAUUUCGUUUCAUAUUUCUAAUUCUACACUUAUGUUGAUAAGUAUUGCUUCUAUACUCCAUGAAAUUAGUGGAAUAUCAUUGAUAUUUGCGCUUCGUGCAUUAUCUUUUCAUGGAAAUAUUAUUCUGAGCAUUCUUGAUAAAUUUUAAUCUUUUCACGUCGGGAUACUAUUCACGGG